CGGGAUGUCUGGGCCACGUUGCAGCGCCAUCGAGCCAUGCUUCUUUGCUCCAACGAGCAGCUAACAUGGAGGAGCGCCGAAGUGACGGACCUGACGUCUCAGUGCGAGGAGUUGAAGGAAGAGGGAGCGGCCAACCGCAAGGAGGUAUGUCGGCUAAGGGAUGAAGUCCACGACCUGAAGGUGAACCGUCACGAGGAGGAGCUGCGGCAGGUGAAGGAGAGCCUUCAGGUGGUGACGGUGGAGCAGGACAAGGCUUCCCUCCACGUCGACUCCCUCUCCAAGUCCCUGGAGGAUGAACGGUCCAAGGGCCUGGCCUUGAACGCCCGGAUAGGAGGUAUCUUGUCAAGGCCUUGUUUUGUUUUUUGUUCGAUUUCUUACCUUAGCCCCGGUUUGAUGUCCUCAUCAACUUUUUAGCCCUCGAGAAGGAUCUGGAGGCUAUAGCCUAGACAUAUCGGACCCUAUCCUGGACCGUGGAGC
rnacentral:misc_RNA from 1 species